CGCUCUCUGAAAAUACUUGUUUAUAACAGGUUAAAUUAAGAUGGAGAGUCGGACCUGCCCAGUGACUUAUCUGUUAAACGGCCGCGGUACUCUGACCGUGCAAAGGUAGCAUAAUCAUUUGCCUUUUAAUUGAAGGCUUGUAUGAAUGGUUUGACGAGGGCUAAGCUGUCUCUUUUUAAAUAUAAAAAAAUUAAUUUUUAGGUGAAGAGGCCUAAAUCUAACUGAGGGACAAGAAGACCCCGUUGAGCUUUAGUAAUUUAAUGAAAUUAGUCAAGUAUUGAUAUACUUAAUGCCCCAUUAUAAUGAAGGUACUAUUCAUUAAAAAUCUUUAGUUGGGGCGACUGAGGAGCAUAUAAAGCUUCCUUUAAAUUAAAUUUGUGGAAAUCAAGCUAAUUUAAAUGGAUCCAGUAUUUACUGAUCAAAGGAAAAAGUUACCACGGGGAUAACAGCGUAAUCUUUCUAAAGAGUUCUUAUCGAAGGAAGGGUUUGCGACCUCGAUGUUGGACUAAGAUAUCCUAGGGAUGUAGAAGUUCCUAAUGGUUAGUCUGUUCGACUAUUAAAAUCUU
rnacentral:rRNA from 1 species